GGUACCAGGCGAGGACAGCAGCUGCAGUCAGGACUCCAAAGCUUCAAUUUGAGGGAGGGACUGUUCUGUUUAUAGAACAUCGGAGACGCUGCUCCGGUAUAUUCAUCGGGACGCUUCCCGGCAUGAGUUCAUCGGGACGCUGCCCGGCAUGAGUUCAUCGGGACGCUGCCCGGCAUGAGUUCAUCGGGUCGCUGCCCGGCAUGGUUCAUCGGGACGCUGCCCGGCAUGGUCAUCGGAGGCGCUGCUCCGGCAUGUACUUUGACAUCAUUGACACCCGAAGGUGCCGUUGUGAGGAAGACCUGCAACAGAAAAGAAAAGGUGGUGGAGAGCGCUGGAACGAGGUCUGAACCUUUUGUCUUCCAAGCUGCUUUGCUGCUUUCUCCUUCUUGUUUUUCCACGUUGUUGUACUCUGUUGCCUCCUCCGUUGCGUCCUCCUGUUGUCUUCCCCACGUUGCGGCCCUCUUUUUUCCUUUUCAUGUGGUGCUUAUAUACUGCACCCGAGAUGAGUUUGACUUGUAUACAACACGGAGGGUUUUAGAGUUCAACUUGAAGUGAACUAGUUGGACAUUUUAUCUCCUUUUUCUUUUGACGUGAAGACUGCAGCUUCUUUUUCAAUUGCUUGUCUAGACUUUGAAACAAGCUAGAAGUCAGCAGCUUAAUUGUUUCUUUUGUUUAAA